UUCCCUUGAAAUUUGACGACUUCUGGCCAAAGCGACAGAAGUGUCGGGAGAGUUUGUGAUACUCCCCCCUGAAAUUUGACGACUUCUGGCCGAAGCGACAGAAGUGCCGGGAGAGUUUGAGAUACUCCCCCCUGAAAACUUGCACUUGGGGCAGUUUUUAGUGUUAUUGUACCCGGAAUCGGCGACUGGAGUUUGUGAUACUCUUGGUAGUCGGCGAUAUCCGUGGCAGGGGGUAUUUUUGUUUUUUACCCUUGUGAAUCGACGACUCCCUCUGUGAGUCGGCGACUCCUAACGUAACCGUCGGAUCUUUUCGAGAGAUCCUUGGAAUAUUUAGGAGAUAUACG
rnacentral:lncRNA from 1 species